AAAUUGAAGAGUUUGAUCAUGGCUCAGAUUGAACGCUGGCGGCAGGCCUAACACAUGCAAGUCGAACGGUAACAGAAAGCAGCUUGCUGCUUUGCUGACGAGUGGCGGACGGGUGAGUAAUGUCUGGGAAACUGCCUGAUGGAGGGGGAUAACUACUGGAAACGGUAGCUAAUACCGCAUAAUGUCGCAAGACCAAAGAGGGGGACCUUCGGGCCUCUUGCCAUCGGAUGUGCCCAGAUGGGAUUAGCUUGUUGGUGGGGUAACGGCUCACCAAGGCGACGAUCCCUAGCUGGUCUGAGAGGAUGACCAGCCACACUGGAACUGAGACACGGUCCAGACUCCUACGGGAG
rnacentral:rRNA from 1 species